rnacentral:rRNA from 1 species
AUUGAACGCUGGCGGCAGGCCUAACACAUGCAAGUCGAGCGGAUGAAGAGAGCUUGCUCUCUGAUUUAGCGGCGGACGGGUGAGUAAUGCCUAGGAAUCUGCCUGGUAGUGGGGGAUAACGUCCGGAAACGGGCGCUAAUACCGCAUACGUCCUACGGGAGAAAGCAGGGGACCUUCGGGCCUUGCGCUAUCAGAUGAGCCUAGGUCGGAUUAGCUAGUUGGUGAGGUAAUGGCUCACCAAGGCUACGAUCCGUAACUGGUCUGAGAGGAUGAUCAGUCACACUGGAACUGAGACACGGUCCAGACUCCUACGGGAGGCAGCAGUGGGGAAUAUUGGACAAUGGGCGAAAGCCUGAUCCAGCCAUGCCGCGUGUGUGAAGAAGGUCUUCGGAUUGUAAAGCACUUUAAGUUGGGAGGAAGGGCAGUAAGUUAAUACCCAAAGUAAGUGGACGUUACUCGCAGAAUAAGCACCGGCUAACUCUGUGCCAGCCGCCGCAGUAAGAC